AACGAACGCUGGCGGCAUACCUAACACAUGCAAGUCGAACGAGACCUUCGGGUCUAGUGGCGCACGGGUGCGUAACGCGUGGGAACCUGCCCUUAGGUUCGGAAUAACUCCCCGAAAGGGGUGCUAAUACCGGAUAAUAUCUUCGGACCAAAGAUUUAUCGCCUUUGGAUGGGCCCGCGUUGGAUUAGCUAGUUGGUAGGGUAAAAGCCUACCAAGGCGACGAUCCAUAGCUGGUCUGAGAGGAUGAUCAGCCACACUGGGACUGAGACACGGCCCAGACUCCUACGGGAGGCAGCAGUGGGGAAUAUUGGACAAUGGGCGAAAGCCUGAUCCAGCAAUGCCGCGUGAGUGAUGAAGGCCUUAGGGUUGUAAAGCUCUUUUACCCGGGAUGAUAAUGACAGUACCGGGAGAAUAAGCGCCGGCUAACUCCGUG
rnacentral:rRNA from 1 species